UGAAUGUAGAGGGAGCUGGCGGGUAUUAUUGCUAAACCAUCAUCCAUUCCAUCAUCUUUGAAAGGUCACAGAGAACAGGAGAGGUGCAUAAGAGUACCGGUGCAGGUUAAAUGUUGUCCUGCUGGAAAGUAGCUCUGCAGAGAAGGACCUGUGAUUCCUGGUGGACAACAGGUUAAACCAGGAGCCAGCAGUAUGCCUUGCUGGCCAAGAAGGCCAGUGGUACCCUGGGAUGCAUUAGGAAGAGCACUGCCAGCAGGUCAGGGGAGAUGAUCUGCACUGGCUGUGGGCAGACUAAUGGAGGUAUCUCUUCACCUCAUGAUGCAGAGGCUGAUGCAGGAAAUGCAAAGAGCUCAGUCAGCUUCAGCACUUCUCUGCAAUAUUGAAAGUCAGGACCAACAGAAGGUACAUCACAUGAAGUAACUAAACUGAUCUUAAAAAGUUACAUAAUACAGUUAAAUAGAAGACUCUGAUAACAAAGGAGGGAUACUCAA